rnacentral:rRNA from 1 species
UACGAAGGGUGCAAGCGUUACUCGGAAUUACUGGGCGUAAAGCGUGCGUAGGCGGUUUGUUAAGUCCGCUGUGAAAGCCCUGGGCUCAACCUGGGAAUUGCAGUGGAUACUGGCAAGCUAGAGUGCGGUAGAGGAUGGUGGAAUUCCCGGUGUAGCGGUGAAAUGCGUAGAUAUCGUCAAGAACACCGAUAGCGAAGGCAGCUUACUGGGCUGUAACUGACGCUGAUGCACGAAAGUGUGGGGAUCAAACAGG